rnacentral:rRNA from 2 species
GGCCUAUAGAUAUGAUGCGGCCGCGCCGGUGAUUCAUGCUUGCUUCCCUGACGUUAGCGGCGGACGGGUGAGUAACACGUGGGCAACCUGCCUGUAAGACUGGGAUAACUUCGGGAAACCGAAGCUAAUACCGGAUAGGAUCUUCUCCUUCAUGGGAGAUGAUUGAAAGAUGGUUUCGGCUAUCACUUACAGAUGGGCCCGCGGUGCAUUAGCUAGUUGGUGAGGUAACGGCUCACCAAGGCAACGAUGCAUAGCCGACCUGAGAGGGUGAUCGGCCACACUGGGACUGAGACACGGCCCAGACUCCUACGGGAGGCAGCAGUAGGGAAUCUUCCGCAAUGGACGAAAGUCUGACGGAGCAACGCCGCGUGAGUGAUGAAGGCUUUCGGGUCGUAAAACUCUGUUGUUAGGGAAGAACAAGUACGAGAGUAACUGCUCGUACCUUGACGGUACCUAACCAGAAAGCCACGGCUAACUACGUGCCAGCAGCCGCGGUAAUACGUAGGUGGCAAGCGUUAUCCGGAAUUAUUGGGCGUAAAGCGCGCGCAGGCGGUUUCUUAAGUCUGAUGUGAAAGCCCACGGCUCAACCGUGGAGGGUCAUUGGAAACUGGGGAACUUGAGUGCAGAAGAGAAAAGCGGAAUUCCACGUGUAGCGGUGAAAUGCGUAGAGAUGUGGAGGAACACCAGUGGCGAAGGCGGCUUUUUGGUCUGUAACUGACGCUGAGGCGCGAAAGCGUGGGGAGCAAACAGGAUUAGAUACCCUGGUAGUCCACGCCGUAAACGAUGAGUGCUAAGUGUUAGAGGGUUUCCGCCCUUUAGUGCUGCAGCUAACGCAUUAAGCACUCCGCCUGGGGGAGUACGGUCGCAAGACUGAAACUCAAAGGAAUUGACCGGGGGCCCGCACAGGCGGUGGAGCAUGUGGUUUAAUUUCGAAGCAACGCGAAGACCUUUACCAGGUCUUGACAUCCUCUGACAACUCUAGAGAUAGAGACGUUCCCUUCCGGGGGACAGAG